rnacentral:lncRNA from 1 species
UCAACUUCUUUCUUUUUGUAAAUUUUGAUUUUUCUUAUUUUUUUGUAUUUUUUGAAAACGAGCAAUAUCAACGUCGACUCAAAUGCGGAAAAUCAAUGAUUUAAAAAUGACGCGUGAAAAGUCGAACGCGUUUGAAAAUAUUUUAACAAUUUAAAUUCUUUUUUAGACGACGUUGAAAAUGCUAAAAUGAUGAAAAUAUAUUAAAAAACAUAUUUUUUUGGAUUUUCUUUGUUUUUCUCAAUUUUUUGGAUUUUUUGAAAAUAUAUCAAAAC